rnacentral:siRNA from 1 species
AACUCGUAUUGAGGAAACGACGUC